rnacentral:rRNA from 1 species
UACGGAGGGUGCAAGCGUUAUUCGGAAUUACUGGGCGUAAAGCGCGUGUAGGCGGUCCUGCAAGUCUGAUGUGAAAGCCCCGGGCUUAACCCGGGAAGUGCAUUGGAAACUGUAGGACUUGAGUACUGGAGAGGAUGGGGGAAUUCCCGGUGUAGAGGUGAAAUUCGUAGAGAUCGGGAGGAAUAUCAGUGGCGAAGGCGCCCAUCUGGACGGUAACUGACGCUGAGACGCGAAAGCGUGGGGAGCAAACAGG